rnacentral:rRNA from 1 species
AUUGAACGCUGGCGGAAUGCUUUACACAUGCAAGUCGAACGGCAGCACGGGGGCAGCCCUGGUGGCGAGUGGCGAACGGGUGAGUAAUACAUCGGAACGUGCCCGGUCGUGGGGGAUAACGUAGCGAAAGUUACGCUAAUACCGCAUACGAUCUGAGGAUGAAAGCGGGGGACCUUCGGGCCUCGCGCGAUCGGAGCGGCCGAUGUCAGAUUAGGUAGUUGGUGGGGUAAAGGCCUACCAAGCCGACUAUCUGUAGCUGGUCUGAGAGGACGACCAGCCACACUGGGACUGAGACACGGCCCAGACUCCUACGGGAGGCAGCAGUGGGGAAUUUUGGACAAUGGGCGCAAGCCUGAUCCAGCCAUUCCGCGUGCAGGACGAAGGCCUUCGGGUUGUAAACUGCUUUUGUACGGAACGAAAAGGCUCUGGCUAAUACCUGGGGCUCAUGACGGUACCGUAAGAAUAAGCACCGGCUAACUACGUG